rnacentral:rRNA from 1 species
CGCCUACGGGGCGCAGCAGUAGGGAAUCUUCCACAAUGGACGAAAGUCUGAUGGAGCAACGCCGCGUGAGUGAAGAAGGGUUUCGGCUCGUAAAGCUCUGGUGGUAGUGAAGAAAGAUAGAGGUAGUAACUGGCCUUUAUUUGACGGUAAUUACUUAGAAAGUCACGGCUAACUACGUGCCAGCAGCCGCGGUAAUACGUAGGUGGCAAGCGUUGUCCGGAUUUAUUGGGCGUAAAGCGAGUGCAGGCGGUUUCAUAAAGCUUAUGUGGAAGCCCUUCG